rnacentral:misc_RNA from 1 species
GUGAAUCAUCGAAUUUUUGAACGCAAAUUGCACUCUCUUCGGAGAGUAUGCCUGUUUGAGGGUCAGUAAUAAUAAAAUCGGGUUGUUGCUUUCUUUUUGCCGCACCGGAGAUUGGGCUCCCUUUGACUUUCGGGUUUAAGAGCCUUAAAAUUGAACUUUUUGCCGCACUUUUAGACGUACAUAAUUUUUUUUUUAUCGUCUAUUCUGGUCCCAAUUAUCUAUUGGGUGCGAUCAUUUUUAUAUGUUCUCGUGCCCAUAUUCCUCAC